UACGGGGGGGGCAAGCGUUGUUCGGAAUUACUGGGCGUAAAGGGUUUGUAGGUGGCUUGCUAAGUCAGACGUGAAAUCCCUCAGCUUAACUGGGGAACUGCGUCUGAUACUGGCGAGCUUGAGUGCAGGAGAGGAACGCGGAAUUCCAGGUGUAGCGGUGAAAUGCGUAGAUAUCUGGAGGAAUACCGGUGGUGCAGACGGCUCUCUGGACCGCAACUGACGCCGAGACACGAAAGCGUGGGUAGCAAACAGG
rnacentral:rRNA from 1 species